rnacentral:rRNA from 1 species
AGCAGCCGCGGUAAUUCCAGCUCCAAUAGCGUAUAUUAAAGUUGUUGCAGUUAAAAAGCUCGUAGUUGAAUUUCGGGAUUGGCGCAUCGGUCGUGCCUCACGGGGUAUGAACUGGUGCAGUCAAUUUCUCACCUUCUGGAGAACCGCGAUGUCCUUAAUUGGAUGCCGCGGGGAACCAGGACCUUUACUUUGAAAAAAUUAGAGUGUUUAAAGCAGGCAUUUUUGCUUGAAUACAUUAGCAUGGAAUAAUAAAAUAGGACGGCAUGGUUCUAUUUUGUUGGUUUCUAGGACCACCGUAAUGAUUAAUAGGGAUAGUUAGGGGGCAUUAGUAUUCAAUUGUCAGAGGUGAAAUUCUUGGAUUUAUUGAAGACUAACUACUGCGAAAGCAUUUGCCAAGGAUGUUUUCAUUAAUCAAGAACGAAAGUUAGGGGAUCGAAGACGAUCAGAUACCGUCGUAGUCUUAACCAUAAACUAUGUCGACUAGGAAUCAGACGAUGUUAAUUUUUUUCAAUGACUCGUU